AUUCUUAUAGAUUACAUGCAUGGUAAACAACCAUUUCAUUUUCUUACCAAAAAAAAACACCCAUUUUAUUAAUAUGCAAGUACCAAUGUCGAUCGAUGUGACUCACCCAUCUUAAGACAAUACAGAUAUCAUUAUGAACUUAAUUUAUGUCAAAGAAUCUCUCCUGUUGCAAAUUUACUUGACCUUUUGGGAUCUUCUACCUUCAGCUUAGAAUGUGCAACUCGAUCUCAUUAUCUUCCUUGGGAGAAAACAAACACAGCUUGCAGUCUGCAGAAAGGAGUGAUGAAGUCUUAUAUUUGUCUUCUCCACCAACUACAGGCAUCGGCACGCCUCGCUUUGCCGUAUUCACGUAGUCAGGACGGUAUGUUCUUCCCAGAACUCCUUCCACUUGAGGGGAGAGCCCAAUGAAUCUGAACUGCACCUCGAAAUGCGCAAAGGAAUCAUCUGAUAGUAUCUGAUAGUUGUGUAUCUCAUCAUCUUCCUUGGUAACCGGAACCACAUUGAUCAUGGCCUCUACAAUCCCCUCAAGCAUGACCCUGAUGCUGUUUCUGGUUCCAGUCCUCUCCAAAGUCAGCC
rnacentral:lncRNA from 1 species